AGAGUUUGAUCCUGGCUCAGGACGAACGCUGGCGGCGUGCUUAACACAUGCAAGUCGAACGAUGAAGCCCAGCUUGCUGGGUGGAUUAGUGGCGAACGGGUGAGUAACACGUGAGUAACCUGCCCUUGACUCUGGGAUAAGCGUUGGAAACGACGUCUAAUACCGGAUACGAGCUUCCACCGCAUGGUGAGUUGCUGGAAAGAAUUUUGGUCAAGGAUGGACUCGCGGCCUAUCAGCUUGUUGGUGAGGUAAUGGCUCACCAAGGCGACGACGGGUAGCCGGCCUGAGAGGGUGACCGGCCACACUGGGACUGAGACACGGCCCAGACUCCUACGGGAGGCAGCAGUGGGGAAUAUUGCACAAUGGGCGAAAGCCUGAUGCAGCAACGCCGCGUGAGGGACGACGGCCUUCGGGUUGUAAACCUCUUUUAGCAGGGAAGAAGCGAAAGUGACGGUACCUGCAGAAAAAGCACCGGCUAACCACGUGCCAGCAGCCGCGGUAAUACGUAGGGUGCAAGCGUUGUCCGGAAUUAUUGGGCGUAAAGAGCUCGUAGGCGGUUUGUCGCGUCUGCUGUGAAAUCCCGAGGCUCAACCUCGGGUCUGCAGUGGGUACGGGCAGACUAGAGUGCGGUAGGGGAGAUUGGAAUUCCUGGUGUAGCGG
rnacentral:rRNA from 1 species